UGAGCUGGUGGUGGCCGCAGAGACCAGCGAGAAGCGACUGUUUACUAAAAACACAGGUCCGUGCGAAGCCGUAAGGCGAUGUAUACGGACUGACGCCUGCCCGGUGCUGGAACGUUAAGGGGACCGGUUAGUCACAUUUCGGUGUGGCGAAGCUGAGAACUUAAGCGCCAGUAAACGGCGGUGGUAACUAUAACCAUCCUAAGGUAGCGAAAUUCCUUGUCGGGUAAGUUCCGACCUGCACGAAUGGCGUAACGACUUCUCGACUGUCUCAACCAUAGGCCCGGUGAAAUUGCAUUACGAGUAAAGAUGCUCGUUUCGCGCAGCAGGACGGAAAGACCCCGGGACCUUUACUAUAGCUUGAUAUUGGUGUUCGGUUCGGCUUGUGUAGGAUAGGUGGGAGACUUUGAAGCCGUGACGCCAGUCAUGGUGGAGUCAUUGUUGAAAUACCACUCUGGUCGUGCUGGAUGUCUAACCUGGGUCCGUGAUCCGGAUCAGGGACAGUGUCUGGUGGGUAGUUUAACUGGGGCGGUUGCCUCCUAAAGGGUAACGGAGGCGCCCAAAGGUUCCCUCAGCCUGGUUGGCAAUCAGGUGUUGAGUGUAAGUGCACAAGGGAGCUUGACUGUGAGACUGACGGGUCGAGCAGGUACGAAAGUAGGGACUAGUGAUCCGGCGGUGGCUUGUGGAAGCGCCGUCGCUCAACGGAUAAAAGGUACCCCGGGGAUAACAGGCUGAUCUUCCCCAAGAGUCCAUAUCGACGGGAUGGUUUGGCACCUCGAUGUCGGCUCGUCGCAUCCUGGGGCUGGAGUCGGUCCCAAGGGUUGGGCUGUUCGCCCAUUAAAGCGGUACGCGAGCUGGGUUUAGAACGUCGUGAGACAGUUCGGUCCCUAUCCGCUGUGCGCGUAGGAGUCUUGAGAAGGGCUGUCCCUAGUACGAGAGGACCGGGACGGACGAACCUCUGGUGUGCCAGUUGUCCUGCCAAGGGCAUGGCUGGUUGGCUACGUUCGGAAAGGAUAACCGCUGAAAGCAUCUAAGCGGGAAGCCUGCUUCGAGAUGAGGACUCCCACCCCCUUUGAGGGGUUAAGGCUCCCAGUAGACGACUGGGUUGAUAGGCCAGAUAUGGAAGCCCGGUAACGGGUGGAGUUGACUGGUACUAAUAGGCCGAGGGCUUGUCCUC
rnacentral:rRNA from 1 species